CGCGGGGUGGAGCAGUGGCAGCUCGGCGGGCUCAUAACCCGCAGGUCGCAGGUUCGACUCCUGCCCCCGCGA
rnacentral:tRNA from 2 species